rnacentral:lncRNA from 1 species
GUGAGAGCAAGAACAGCCCGCAGGUCCCGAGGCGCUUGCAGGGGACUCUGCCGCGGAAAGUUCCCAGUCCCCAGCCGCAGUCCAGUCUUUGCCUCCCUCCCGGUCUGCCCUCCCACAGCUCCUCAUCCCAUUCCUCCUCUACCCUGUCUCCAAGAGGAUGCCCCCCAUACCUGCAGCCAGGCUUCCCCACUCCCUGGGGUCUCAAGUCUCUUGAAGAAGCUUUUUAUUUUUGGUUGAUUCCUGCUGUCUACUCCUCUUGGAUGCCUUUGUGAAACUGCUUCUAUCUGAGAAGGAGGAGUUGCCAUUUAGCAAGUAGUAGGUGGUACCGUGUGUGGCAGAGUCCGAUGUGUUACACCACGAGGACAUUCAUCUUUGCAAUUGGUGAAGUCCUUCUACCUAGUUCCCCUUCCUUGUGCACAGAAGAGGACUGGAAAACUCCUCACAGGACUGCAUACUGCUAUCUCUGAGAAACCAGAAAGAAGAAAGUACCUCUUCCUUCCAAGCUUCUACCUAAGAGUAUACUGGAAGGUUUACCUAGAGCAACAAGACAACGAAAUGGAUUGUCCUUCUCACGCUAGUCCACACACAAUCCUCAUCAUUUUGAUAAGAUAGCAUGAAGUCUCUUAUCGCUUGUGGAUCCAGCACUUUGGUUCAGCCUUAGAAGCCGAAAAAUCCAGACAAGGAAAAUGACAGUGGCUUAUUCCUCUGAGUCCACACAUUCCCCAUAUAUAUCAUGUGAAAAUGGAGAAAUGAGACAGUCAUCAUCUUCAAGGUGAAGAAAUACAGUUUGUCCCUUCCUCUCAAAAUGAAGAAAGCUACAUUCAUGUAUAUGUAUCUGGACUUCAUUAAUUUGUUUCUAUUUCCAUUUUGUUACCUCUCUGAGACAAGUAUGAAGCUUGUCUCUAAAAUUAUAGUUAUGUACUAUUACUCAUUUGAAAUGAUAAUAAUUACUCAUUAAUAAAUACUAAAAUAUUUGAAACCA